AAGGUUUAAAGUGAUAUCUGCAUGGAGUGUCAGUGGAGAGAAAUUAUUAUGAAUUUGGAGUGACAUGAGGAAAUUGUUAAGCUUGAUUGAUCCUGAAGUGCCUGUGUCUACCUCAACAAAUACCUGAGACACUCUUCCAAGAAUAUGUGGACUAUGAAAGUGAAGAGGCUAAAUCUGGGAUUCUACAGUACAGACAACAACAAUAAGAAUCUAGGUCAUUUGGGCAGAAGGUGUUGAUCCUGGAGACAAACCUACAGAUGUUGGUAUGGUAUUUGUAUAAGUUCUGCAAAACCUGCUGAGUGUUACCCUUGGAUGUGGGAUGCUUUUUGGACUCAUUUAUGCCCUUAAUCUUACCAGUCAGAAACACCUCAAGUACACGUUUGAAGCAUUUUAGAAACUGAUGGAAAUGGAUAAAACCAAGCUGUCACCAAAAGUCCAAGCACUGAAAGUAGCGAUGCUUUAUAUUUUAUAUAAAUUGAUAUUUCCUUCUUCAAACUUGUUUUUUCUUGUUAGCCCCUUUUUGCUAACCUUUAAGUUUUGUUAUAAAGUAGUUAA